CCAACGUCUGAGGCGCGCGGUGUCCCUGAACCACCAGCUGAGUCCUUUGGAGCCCAGCCCUCUCUCCUGCCUUCUCGGAGGCUCGCUCCUUCCCAGGGCGUUUGUGGCUCCCGCUUUCGUGUCCUCGGUGGGCACAGCACCCCCUGAAUCUCCGUGCCCAUGGCCGCCAGCCUGAGGAGGCCCUCUUUCAACUCCUGUUCUGCCUUGGCGUCAGAUACGGACGACGAGGGUGUGCGCGGCACUUGCUAAGAUGCUUAUGGAUGCGAGAGCCUAAGAAAACAGAAGCCCUGAGUGAAGAUCUGUUACAGGUGUUCAUGUUAGCAGGCUGUCUUAAGGCAAUGAAAUCUGAUGUACAGAAUGUCUUCUCGAUUGCUCCACGAAGAGGUAGAAGAGCCUAGAAAUUCAAUGCAGGAAAAGAUGCAACAAUUAGAACUCUCCAGGAUGAUAACAGAGGUUGUUUUUGUUGGACUGCUGCCACCUCAGAACUGGGAGGAAAACAACAUGAACACCCUGAUUCAGAGACGAAGCAGUUCAAGGAAGAGCAAGCCAUUUUCUAAAACUUAAUUCGGGAAAAAGAUCUCCAACUCAAAGCGAAGAAGUGACGAAUUGCUUCCUCUGAAUGAGAAUUUCACCUGUGAAGUGGGUGAGAAGGAACUUUGGAGGCAGGAAGUCACCAUGUGCUGUUUCCACUCUUCCAUUAUCUUAAUCUGUUGCUCUAAUUUGUCCUGUUCCUUUAGAAGCUAGUUGAACUGAUCGAUAUUAACACCAUGUCAAGAAAGCGUGGCAUUUCUGCCUUAAGGCAUCCACUUCAGUGUCUUUUUCUUGAAAAGCAUGUGUCAAAUUCUGAAUCAUUUCUCUAAACAUAUCCUGAUCACUCGUUUCAAUCCUAGUGAACAAUUUAUAUGUUCAUUUUGCAGCUUCGUGAAAUACACGCUUCUUUGGCAACAAUUA